rnacentral:rRNA from 1 species
UACGGAGGAUGCGAGCGUUAUCCGGAUUUAUUGGGUUUAAAGGGUGCGUAGGUGGUAGAUUAAGUCAGCGGUGAAAGUUUGUCGCUCAACGAUAAAAUUGCCGUUGAUACUGGUUUACUUGAGUAUAGUUGAAGUAGGCGGAAUGCGUGGUGUAGCGGUGAAAUGCAUAGAUAUCACGCAGAACUCCGAUUGCGAAGGCAGCUUACUAAGUUAUAACUGACACUGAAGCACGAAAGCGUGGGUAUCAAACAGG